GACGAACCGUCCGAACGUUAUUCGGUAUCACUGGGCUUAAAGAGUUCGUAGGCGGCCUGACCGGUGAGGUGUGAAAUCCCUCGGCUCAACCGAGGAACUGCGCCUCAAACCGUCAGGCUUGAGGGAGAUAGAGGUGAGCGGAACAGAUGGUGGAGCGGUGAAAUGCGUUGAUAUCAUCUGGAACACCGGUGGCGAAAGCGGCUCACUGGAUCUUUUCUGACGCUGAGGAACGAAAGCUAGGGUAGCGAGCGGG
rnacentral:rRNA from 1 species